AGCGCAGCCCACCCUGCACAGGAAGGAAGCGGAGGGGAGGCGAUUCUGGAGAAGUUAAAGGGCUCACCUUUGGACGCCGGGCCAGCAAGGCCAGACACCAAACACCCACCUCCGGGAGGAACCAGCAGAGCCGAAACCGGCUCUCCCCGCCUUUCCGAUAGGGCGGAGGGAGGUGAGAGAAGGGAGCGCGCGCGAGGGGUUCAGGAGCCAGGAAGCCGCACUCCCCUCCCGCAGGGCCGGCCGCCCGGGGCCGAAGCGGCCGACGCUCAGACUGCAGAAAGCGGAACAAUCUCCCAGGCCCUGGCGGCAGCAAACGGGAGCCCACUCCGCUCGCCGCCACCUCCUCCCGACCCCCGGACGUCCCCGAAUGAGUUCCCGGCCGCAACCGCAGCUCGGGCCGCGGCGCCUGCGCCAGGGUUGCGCGCUCCGGCUCGGCGCGGCUCCACCUGCGCGUCGCCUUCCCUCGCAGCCCCCGGCCCCUGCCGGGAGAGGUGCGCACCAACCUUGGGGUGCAGCUCGGCCGCCAAGCCACGGCUUAUGCUGAGGCCGGAGGUGGCGGCAUCACCCGCGGCGGGCGGCGGCUGCACCGGGACGCGCCGGGGCGGCGAAGGCGCGCUGCACCCUGGACCCUGCUCCCGCGGCCCCGCCCGCGGCUGCCACCUCGAAGCGCGGCGGAGGAGCCGGGGCACCACGGGCGGCGGCAGCGGCAGCGGCAGCAGCGGCGACGGGAGCAGCAGCACAUGACUCUGUAACGAGGGGAAUUAGACAAAGCGUAACAUGGACUCCGGGCCCGUGCAGGCGCUGCAGCUCUGGGACCAACCGCAGCCGGCGAGUGCCGCGACUGGCCCGGCCGCAGCCAAUGGGGCGGGCCCGGGCCUCCAUGUGAUUGCGAGCGCUUUCUCCGGUGGCCCUGCAGCGCCUGACCGGACGGGGUCUGUGUGGCGAGGGAGGGGACCCGGGGUUGGAGACUGGCGGCGAGCGACUGCUAGAUGCGGAGCAGGUGCUUGGGAGGGGAAGAACGGCAGCCUACAUAACCAUCGCCGUAAUGCUCUCGCAAGCGUCCACCUGGGCAGGGCUCGGUGCCGGGCAGGCGCAGCUGCCAGUUAGCUGCGAGGCAUGGUCAGGAGCCUUCACCCGUCCUGGGCGAAGGAGGCUGUCCCGUCGACUAAAACUCUGAUAUUAAGACUUGGCGCUGGGGGUGGGGAGUUGAAUUACGUUAAAAAGUCACUUAAGUGCCUUCCAACUCUAAGGAGAAGUACUUAUCUGAGCUUUGGGGCACACACAACUACUACUUGGCAUGGAGAGUUUCUCAGCUUCAUGUGUUCCGUCUGUUAUUGAAGCUGUAUUGGAAAGUCGGUUCUUGUUUUUAUCUGAGCCCGCCGUUUUCAUCCCAUUCUUUUCGUCAAAAAUAUGUUACAUCUGAAAGAGGCAGAUGAAAAGAUUAUUCUAUGCUAAGAGGGUUUUGCAGCCCGAUAAUGUCACCGUUUUUUGUUGUUGUUGUUGUAGGAUCGGGGUUCAUUUGCAGUCUUUUUUGUGGGUGAGCAGAGGCAGGGGCCAAUAAAUAAAUUAAGGCGGGAUAUUUGGAGUUAUUUGGUUGUAAUAAAAUAUGUGGUUCAACCCA
rnacentral:lncRNA from 1 species